ensembl:lncRNA cholinergic receptor muscarinic 1
AUGAGGAGGGACCCCCGAGAGAGGAGGGGGCCAGGGAGGGGUCUAGAGGCCAAGGCUCUGCAACGCUGCUCCAAGUACCCCAUCUCCUGGCUUCUGGUGGAUACACCUAAUGUUUUUCUGGGGUUCAGCUGGAAAAGGAGCUGGGGAGCCCCUAGAACUCUGGACCCGGAGCCCAGAAGGGAUCAGCUUGCCAUGCAGCAGGCAGAGCCCCCAAGCCCCAGAGACAGUGUAGGGAGGGCAGGGGACCAAGAGGUAGCCCUUGCCACCAGAAUCUUUUGGGAGGUUGACCGCCCCCCCGACUGGGGUGCCAGUCUCAGAACCUCCUCCUCUCCUCCCUCAGGGAACCCUGACUCCCACCAUCCCCAUCCACCUUCAGCCCCUCCACGAUGGACUGAACCAGGCUGCUGGCCAGAUGGACAAGCGGGAUGCCAAGUCUUCGCAGGUCUUGUCCCAGGGAGCCGCUGGAGGCUACAGAACUGCCCCCAAGGCACCCAGGCUUGGGAUGUGGACGCCAGCACCCAGUCUGGGAACCAGGAGACCUUAGACUACACAAUACCUUUUUCUUUUUGCUCUGGGCCUCAGUUGCUCCAUUUCUGCAAUGGGCACAAACAGCACUGAGUCUAGAUGAUCAAAGGGAUCACAAUAGUUCAGGGUUACCUGUCAAGGGUAGUUUCCACCAGUGACCUCACAGGGAAAAGCCCAAGCACCUACAGUCUGAUCCCAGCCUCCUGCCUGACUUCCAUUAAGGGACGAGGUUGCAACAGAGCUCAGUAAGCAAGAUAAAUCAUAUUUUAGUGUAAUAUUUUUAGUUCAAAUUGGCAAACUAUGGCUCCUAAGCCAACAACCAGGGGGGUUUUAUAUUUAUUUUUAUCUAUUUACUUAUUUAGCUACACUAAAUAAGUGUAGUGUAGUAUAUUUAGCUACAGGGUCUUAGCUGUGGCAGGUGGAAUCUAGUUCCCUGACCAGGGAUCAAACCCAAGACCCCUGCGUUGGGAGCAUGGAGCUUAGCCACUGGACCACCUGACCAUCAGUUUUAUAAAUAAAGUUUCAUUGGAACUUACUGCUUGGGCUCCA